rnacentral:tRNA from 1 species
ACAGCGAUGUCCGAGUGGUUAAGGUGUUUGACUUGAAAUCAGAUCAGCUCUGCCCGCGUAGGUUCGAAUCCUGUUCGCAGCG